rnacentral:rRNA from 1 species
GCGGUAAUACGUAGGGUGCGAGCGUUGUCCGGAAUUACUGGGCGUAAAGAGCUCGUAGGUGGUCUGUUGCGUCGUCUGUGAAAUUCCGGGGCUUAACUUCGGGGUGGCAGGCGAUACGGGCAUAACUAGAGUGCUGUAGGGGAGACUGGAAUUCCUGGUGUAGCGGUGGAAUGCGCAGAUAUCAGGAGGAACACCGAUGGCGAAGGCAGGUCUCUGGGCAGUAACUGACGCUGAGGAGCGAAAGCAUGGGGAGCGAACAGGAUUAGAUACCCUGGUAGUCCAUGCUGUAAACGGUGGGCGUUAGGUGUGGGGACCGGUUUGGUUUCUGUGCCGUAGCUAACGCAUUAAGCGCCCCGCCUGGGGAGUACGGCCGCAAGGCUAAAACUCAAAGGAAUUGACGGGGGCCCGCACAAG